rnacentral:rRNA from 1 species
AGAGCGAACGCUGGCGGCAGGCCUAACACAUGCAAGUCGAGCGCGUGUAGCAAUACACGAGCGGCAGACGGGAGAGUAACACGUGGGAACGCGCCCUUCGGUUCGGAAUAACUCAGGGAAACUUGAGCUAAUACCGGAUACGCCCUUACGGGGAAAGAUUUAUUGCCGAAGGAACGGCCCGCGUCCGAUUAGCUAGUUGGUGAGGUAACGGCUCACCAAGGCGACGAUCGGUAGCUGGUCUGAGAGGAUGACCAGCCUCACUGGGACUGAGACACGGCCCAGACUCCUACGGGAGGCAGCAGUGGGGAAUAUUGGACAAUGGGCGCAAGCCUGAUCCAGCCAUGCCGCGUGGAUGAUGAAGGCCUUAGGGUUGUAAAGUCCUUUUAACGGGGAAGAUAAUGACGGUACCCGUAGAAUAAGCCCCGGCUAACUUCGCGCCAGCCAGCCGC